rnacentral:rRNA from 1 species
GGAUCGGUGACAGGUGCUGCAUGGCUGUCGUCAGCUCGUGUCGUGAGAUGUUGGGUUAAGUCCCGCAACGAGCGCAACCCUCGUCCUUAGUUGCCAGCAUUAAGUUGGGCAACUCUAAGGAGACUGCCGGUGUUAAACCGGAGGAAGGCGGGGAUGACGUCAAGUCCUCAUGGCCCUUAUGUCCAGGGCUACACACGUGCUACAAUGGCCGGUACAAAGGGUAGCAAGACCGCGAGGUGGAGCCAACCCCAAAAAGCCGGUCUCAGUUCGGAUUGGAGUCUGCAACUCGACUCCAUGAAGUUGGAAUCGCUAGUAAUCGUGGAUCAGCAUGCCACGGUGAAUACGUUCCCGGGCCUU